rnacentral:rRNA from 1 species
GACGAACGCUGGCGGCGUGCCUAACACAUACAAGUCGAACGGAAAGGCCCUGCUUUUGUGGGGUGCUCGAGUGGCGAACGGGUGAGUAACACGUGAGUAACCUGCCCCUGACUUUGGGAUAACUUCAGGAAACUGGGGCUAAUACCGGAUAGGAGCUCCUGCUGCAUGGUGGGGGUUGGAAAGUGUCGGCGGUUGGGGCUGGUCUCGCGGGUUAUCGGCUUGUUUGUGGGGUAGGGGCUUACCAAGCCUUUGACGGGUAGCCGGCCUGGGAGGGGGGCCGGCCACAUGAGGACUGAGAUACGGCCCAGAAUCCAACGGGACGCAACGGUGGAGAAUAUUACACAGUGGGCGGGAGCCAGAUGCAACGACGCCGCGUGCGGGAUGACGGCCUUCGGGUUGUAAACAGCUUUCGCCUGUGACGAGGCGGUAGUGACGGUAAUGAAUAAGGAAGCACCGGCUAACUACGUG